rnacentral:lncRNA from 1 species
CUUGCUUGCUGUCUACCCUGGUUCUCAGAGCACUUUCCAAAGAGCUUCCAUGGUGACAUCAUCAGGCCCCAAGUGGGGAAACGGAGCCUGGACACUGCUGUGCCGCUCCGUCUUACGCAGGAGGAGACCUUCGCGGCAGGACCUGGUUACCUGCCCAAGGUCAUACAAGCUGAAAGUGGCCAAGCCAAGAUUUGAACCAGGUUUAUCUGGGUCCAAAGCCAUUGCUUCUGGGAGCCGAGUGAGAGAGCCGGGUCUGUGACGCUGUGAUGAGGAAACUGAGGCUCCGAGGCUCCUGACAUGCUGAACUCACCCAGCUGGAAAGUGGAAAGUGACAGAGCAGGGAUGUGCUCUUCCCACCUGACUGCACUGACGGACCAGAGUGGGGCUGCUGGGAGUCGAAACUGCCAAGUGUGGCUUGUCGGGGCCCUCGUCUGCAGCAUGCCCAAAACUGAAAAAUAAAUUGACUCAAGGGAGGGUGUUAGCCGGAUGGCGGGCCUGUGGGAGCUCGGUAUUUUUAGUCAUUUUGUC